ensembl:lncRNA
GUUAGUUACACAUCUGAUUCAUGAUACGAAGGGGAGUCACAUACAAGGGGGAACACAUGUAUGUACAUUUGUGAACAACUGUUUUCAAGGAUGAAUCACAGAAAGAAUUACAGAAUCACAGAAUUGUAGGGAUUGGAAGGGAACUCUAGAGAUUAUCAAGUCUCUUGCCAAACGCCCCUGCCAAAGCAGGCUCCCUACAGCAGGCUGCAUAGGUCUUGCUGAGUGAAUCUGGACUCCUACCAGCUUUGUAUCGUAGGUGUACUUGCUGAGGUGGACACUAUCCCCUCAUCAAGGUCAUCAAUGAAGAUACUGAACAAGACCAGACCCAGCACUGACCCCUACGGAGUACUGCUAGUCACAGGUUUCCAAUUGACUCUGUGCCACCGAUCACCAUCCUCUGAGCUUUGCCAGUCAGCCAGUUCUCAACCCACCUCACCAUCUACUCAUCUAUCCCACACAUUCUCAGCUUCAUUAUCAGGAUGUCGUGGGAAACAGUAUCAAAAACCUUAUUUCAUCAAAAAUCUCUGAUGAAUACCUUGAGAACUCACUGAGAAUUGAACCAGACAGUGAUGAAUUAGUUUCACAAAAAACUCAGAUAUUGUAUUAGUUUUAUGUUUUUGUUGCUCUUUUUUAAGUUUUAAUUAAAAAUGCAUA